AUUGAACGCUGGCGGCAGGCCUAACACAUGCAAGUCGAGCGAGCGGCGGACGGGUGAGUAAUGUCUGGGAAACUGCCUGAUGGAGGGGGAUAACUACUGGAAACGGUAGCUAAUACCGCAUACCAUCAGAUGUGCCCAGAUGGGAUUAGCUAGGAGGUGGGGUAACGGCUCACAUAGGCGACGAUCCCUAGCUGGUCUGAUAGGAUGACCAGGCAGACUGGAACGGAGGCACGGGCCAGACUCCUACGGGAGGCAGCAGUGGGGAAUAUGGCACAAGGGGGGCAGGCCUGAUGCAGCCAUGCCGCGUGUGUGAAGAAGGCCUUCGGGUUGUAAAGCACUUUCAGCUGGGAGGCGUUACCCGCAGAAGAAGCAACGGCUAACUCCGUGCCAGCAGCCGCGGUAAUUC
rnacentral:rRNA from 1 species